AGAUUUACUUCGGUAAUGACGUUCCGUAAGCGAGCGGCGGAUGGGUGAGUAACACGUGGGGAACCUGCCCCUAAGUCUGGGAUACCAUUUGGAAACAGGUGCUAAUACCGGAUAAUAAAGCAGAUCGCAUGAUCAGCUUUUGAAAGGCGGCGUAAGCUGUCGCUAAGGGAUGGCCCCGCGGUGCAUUAGCUAGUUGGUAAGGUAACGGCUUACCAAGGCGACGAUGCAUAGCCGAGUUGAGAGACUGAUCGGCCACAUUGGGACUGAGACACGGCCCAAACUCCUACGGGAGGCAGCAGUAGGGAAUCUUCCACAAUGGACGCAAGUCUGAUGGAGCAACGCCGCGUGAGUGAAGAAGGUUUUCGGAUCGUAAAGCUCUGUUGUUGGUGAAGAAGGAUAGAGGUAGUAACUGGCCUUUAUUUGACGGUAAUCAACCAGAAAGUCACGGCUAACUACGUGCCAGCAGCCGCGGUAAUACGUAGGUGGCAAGCGUUGUCCGGAUUUAUUGGGCGUAAAGCGAGCGCAGGCAGAAAAAUAAGUCUAAUGUGAAAGCCCUCGGCUUAACCGAGGAACUGCAUCGGAAACUGUUUUUCUUGAGUGCAGAAGAGGAGAGUGGAACUCCAUGUGUAGCGGUGGAAUGCGUAGAUAUAUGGAAGAACACCAGUGGCGAAGGCGGCUCUCUGGUCUGCAACUGACGCUGAGGCUCGAAAGCAUGGGUAGCGAACAGGAUUAGAUACCCUGGUAGUCCAUGCCGUACACGAUGAGUGCUAAGUGUUGGGAGGUUUCCGCCUCUCAGUGCUGCAGCUAACGCAUUAAG
rnacentral:rRNA from 1 species